GAGCUGAUAGCAUAAUGUGUAGUGCGUCUGCUUGCUAUUAGAAAACAGUGUGCAUCAGCAGAAGGUCCCUGUUCGAUUCGGGGUCAGGUCA